rnacentral:sRNA from 2 species
UCGAUUCGAGCGCAGCGAGAAAGCGUUGCCGUAGGCAACGACCCGAAGGGCGAAGCGCGCAGCGCUGAGUAAUCCUUCCCCCGUCAUCC